GGGAUUGUAGUUAAUUAUAACAUUUGAAUUGCAUACAAAAAGUAUUGAAUUUUCAAUCUAUCUCA
rnacentral:tRNA from 3 species